rnacentral:rRNA from 1 species
GAUGAACGCUGGCGGCGUGCCUAAUACAUGCAAGUCGAGCGAACAGACGAGGAGCUUGCUCCUCUGACGUUAGCGGCGGACGGGUGAGUAACACGUGGAUAACCUACCUAUAAGACUGGGAUAACUUCGGGAAACCGGAGCUAAUACCGGAUAAUAUAUUGAACCGCAUGGUUCAAUAGUGAAAGACGGUUUUGCUGUCACUUAUAGAUGGAUCCGCGCCGCAUUAGCUAGUUGGUAAGGUAACGGCUUACCAAGGCAACGAUGCGUAGCCGACCUGAGAGGGUGAUCGGCCACACUGGAACUGAGACACGGUCCAGACUCCUACGGGAGGCAGCAGUAGGGAAUCUUCCGCAAAGGGCGAAAGCCUGACGGAGCAACGCCGCGUGAGUGAUGAAGGUCUUCGGAUCGUAAAACUCUGUUAUUAGGGAAGAACAAAUGCGUAAGUAACUAUGCACGUCUUGACGGUACCUAAUCAGAAAGCCACGGCUAACUACGUG